CCUACGGGAGGCAGCAGUGAGGAAUAUUGGUCAAUGGACGAGAGUCUGAACCAGCCAAGCAGCGUGAAGGAUGACUGCCCUAUGGGUUGUAAACUUCUUUUAUAAAGGAAUAAAACGAGGCACGUGUGCCUUUUUGCAUGUACUUUAUGAAUAAGGAUCGGCUAACUCCGUGCCAGCAGCCGCGGUAAUACGGAGGAUUCGAGCGUUAUCCGGAUUUAUUGGGUUUAAAGGGAGCGUAGAUGGGUUGUUAAGUCAGUGGUGAAAGUAUGGGGGUCAACCGUAAAAUUGCAAUUGAUACUGGCAGUCUUGAGUACAGUUGAGGUAGGCGGAAUGCGUGGUGUAGCGGUGAAAUGCUUAGAGAUCACGCAGAACCCCGAUUGCGAAGGCAGCUUACCAAACUAUGACUGACGUUGAGGCUCGAAAGCGUGGGUAUCAAACAGGAUUAGAUACCCCAGUAGUC
rnacentral:rRNA from 1 species